rnacentral:rRNA from 1 species
GUCGUGAGAUGUUGGGUUAAGUCCCGCAACGAGCGUAACCCUUGUUUUUAGUUGCCUUUCGAGGAUAUUUAGAAAGACUGCCGAUUAUAAAUCGGAGGAAGGUAAGGACGACGUCAAGUCAUCAUGCCCCUUACACUCUGGGCUACACACGUGCUACAUUGGGUAGAACAAUAAGUUGCUAAGUUGCGAAACCAAGCGAAUCUUCAAAUCUACUCUAAGUUCGGAUUGUAGGCUGCAACUCGCCUACAUAAAGAUGGAAU